rnacentral:lncRNA from 1 species
CCCAAGAAUGAGUGCAGCAAAAACCUGCAACUCGGUGUCAGUUUUGCCGGUGGAUAUAUUGCUGGUGUGCUUUGUGCAAUCGUGUCUCAUCCUGCUGAUAAUCUUGUCUCUUUCCUGAACAAUGCUAAAGGAGCAACAGUUGGUGAUGUGAGUGUCAGACUUGGAGCCAUUGUUGUGUAGUUGUUUCUAACAAUAUCUGUUCAUCUGUUUAUGCAAGUUUCUUUAAUGCUACGUACCAUGUAAUGCAGGCGGUGAGUAAGCUUGGUUUGUGGGGUCUCUUCACCCGUGGUCUUCCCCUCCGUAUUGUGAUGAUUGGAACUCUUACUGGUGCCCAAUGGGGAAUAUAUGAUGCUUUCAA